rnacentral:rRNA from 1 species
GGUGAACGCUGGCGGUAGGCCUAACACAUGCAAGUCGAACGGCAGCACAGUAAGAGCUUGCUCUUACGGGUGGCGAGUGGCGGACGGGUGAGGAAUACAUCGGAAUCUACUUUUUCGUGGGGGAUAACGUAGGGAAACUUACGCUAAUACCUCAUACGACCUACGGGUGAAAGCAGUGGAUCUUCGGACCUUGCCCGAUUGAAUGAGCCGAUGUCGGAUUAGCUAGUUGGCGGGGUAAAGGCCCACCAAGGCGACGAUCCGUAGCUGGUCUGAGAGGAUGAUCAGCCACACUGGAACUGAGACACGGUCCAGACUCCUACGGGAGGCAGCAGUGGGGAAUAUUGGACAAUGGGCGAAAGCCUGACCCAGCCACACCGCGUGGGUGAUGAAGGCCUUCGGGUCGUAAAGCUCUUUUGUUGGGAAAGAAAAGCAGUAGGUGAAUACCCCGCCGUCCUGACGGUACCCAAAGAAAAAGCACCGGCUAACUUCGUG